rnacentral:rRNA from 1 species
GACGAACGCUGGCGGCGUGCUUAACACAUGCAAGUCGAACGAUGAACCCGGUGCUUGCACUGGGGGAUUAGUGGCGAACGGGUGAGUAACACGUGAGUAACCUGCCCCUGUCUCUGGGAUAAGCGCUGGAAACGGCGUCUAAUACUGGAUAUGCCUCAUCACCGCAUGGUGUGUGGGGGGAAAGAUUUAUCGGACAUGGAUGGACUCGCGGCCUAUCAGCUUGAUGGUGAGGUAAUGGCUCACCAUGGCGACGACGGGUAGCCGGCCUGAGAGGGUGACCGGCCACACUGGGACUGAGACACGGACCAGACUCCUACGGGAGGCAGCAGUGAGGAAUAUUGGACAAUGGGUGAGAGCCUGAUCCAGCCAUCCCGCGUGAAGGAUGACGGUCCUAUGGAUUGUAAACUUCUUUUCUACAGGGAUAAACCUAUUUACGUGUAAAUAGCUGAAGGUACUGUAGGAAUAAGCACCGGCUAACUCCGUGCCAGCAGCCGCGGUAAUACGGAGGGUGCAAGCGUUAUCCGGAUUUAUUGGGUUUAAAGGGUCCGUAGGCGGACUUGUAAGUCAGUGGUGAAAUCUCAUAGCUUAACUAUGAAACUGCCAUUGAUACUGCAAGUCUUGAGUAUAGUUGAGGUAGCUGGAAUGAGUAGUGUAGCGGUGAAAUGCAUAGAUAUUACUCAGAACACCAAUUGCGAAGGCAGGUUACCAAGUUAUAACUGACGCUGAUGGACGAAAGCGUGGGGAGCGAACAGGAUUAGAUACCCUGGUAGUCCACGCUGUAAACGAUGCUAACUCGUUUUUGGGCUUUAGGGUUCAGAGACCAAGCGAAAGUGAUAAGUUAGCCACCUGGGGAGUACGUUCGCAAGAAUGAAACUCAAAGGAAUUGACGGGGGCCCGCACAAGCGGUGGAUUAUGUGGUUUAAUUCGAUGAUACGCGAGGAACCUUACCAAGACUUAAAUGGGAAAUGACAGAUUUAGAAAUAGAUCCUUCUUCGGACAUUUUUCAAGGUGCUGCAUGGUUGUCGUCAGCUCGUGCCGUGAGGUGUUAGGUUAAGUCCUGCAACGAGCGCAACCCCUGUCACUAGUUGCUACCAUUCAGUUGAGGACUCUAGUGAGACUGCCUACGCAAGUAGAGAGGAAGGUGGGGAUGACGUCAAAUCAUCACGGCCCUUACGUCUUGGGCCACACACGUAAUACAAUGGCCGGUACAGAGGGCAGCUACACAGUGAUGUGAUGCGAAUCUCGAAAGCCGGUCUCAGUUCGGAUUGGAGUCUGCAACUCGACUCUAUGAAGCUGGAAUCGCUAGUAAUCGCGCAUCAGCCAUGGCGCGGUGAAUACGUUCCCGGGCCUUGUACACACCGCC